ACAAUAAUCUAAAAAAAAUAAAUCAAUUCUGUUAUUUUUCUUGUAAUAUUUGUUUUUAUCCAUCCAGGUUCUUCCGGCAGUGCAGUGUACUAUGUGAUAAUUCCACUGGCUGUGGUGGCUUCAUUGCUGCUCAUCACUUUCAUCUGUUUCUGCACUCUGCGAAGAAGACAAGCACGAGCAGCCAUGGUGAUCUACGAGGUUCCUCACAUUGACUCUGAGAUAGAAAUGGACAAACACAGCACCAGCUCCUCCAGAGGGUCGUCUCAGUGGUGUCAGGUGCCAGUGUACGAAUCCGUCGAUUACUUUGAACGCGCUGAAGCCAAAGAAAGUGGGUGAAGAUCUGCUCAGUAGAAUCUCUUCAGCUUCCAGGAUUUUCAUGUAUAUAAUGUACAUUCAUUUAUCUUUAACUGAAAAGUGUAAAUGAUUUUAAAUGACUAUAUUUUUCUAUAAACUCAGUCUUAUCCAUC